UACGUAGGGGGCAAGCGUUGUCCGGAAUCAUUGGGCGUAAAGAGCGUGUAGGCGGCUCGGUAAGUCCGCUCUGAAAGCCCGGGGCUCAACCCCGGGAGGCGGGCGGAUACUGUCGGGCUAGAGUCCGGAAGAGGCGAGUGGAAUUCCUGGUGUAGCGGUGAAAUGCGCAGAUAUCAGGAGGAACACCAAUGGCGAAGGCAGCUCGCUGGGACGGUACUGACGCUGAGACGCGAAAGCGUGGGGAGCAAACGGG
rnacentral:rRNA from 1 species